GACGAACGCUGGCGGCGUGCCUAAUACAUGCAAGUAGAACGCUGAAGGAGGAGCUUGCUCUUCUGGAUGAGUUGCGAACGGGUGAGUAACGCGUAGGUAACCUGCCUGGUAGCGGGGGAUAACUAUUGGAAACGAUAGCUAAUACCGCAUAAUAGUAGAUGUUGCAUGAUAUUUACUUAAAAGGUGCAAUUGCACCACUACCAGAUGGACCUGCGUUGUAUUGGCUAGUUGGUGGGGUAACGGCUCACCAAGGCGACGAUACAUAGCCGACCUGAGAGGGUGAUCGGCCACACUGGGACUGAGACACGGCCCAGACUCCUACGGGAGGCAGCAGUAGGGAAUCUUCGGCAAUGGACGAAAGUCUGACCGAGCAACGCCGCGUGAGUGAAGAAGGGUUUCGGAUCGUAAAGCUCUGUUGUAAGAGAAGAACGAGUGUGAGAGUGGAAAGUUCACACUGUGACGGUAUCUUACCAGAAAGGGACGGCUAACUACGUG
rnacentral:rRNA from 1 species